GAAAUGAAAGUCUUCAAACGGGUGAACUGAUUGUUUGUUUGGGUUUUUUUGGUGUUCAGAGCUUCUUUUAAUGCCAUAUUUAGAUCGGCAGUGUCAUUUUGUGCAGUACAAUACAGCCACUCCUAACUCACCCAAUAC